UACGUAGGGUGCGAGCGUUAAUCGGAAUUACUGGGCGUAAAGCGUGCGCAGGCGGCUUUGCAAGACAGAUGUGAAAUCCCCGCGCUCAACCUGGGAACUGCAUUUGUGACUGCAAGGCUAGAGUACGGCAGAGGGGGAUGGAAUUCCGCGUGUAGCAGUGAAAUGCGUAGAUAUGCGGAGGAACACCAAUGGCGAAGGCAAUCCCCUGGGCCUGUACUGACGCUCAUGCACGAAAGCGUGGGGAGCAAACAGG
rnacentral:rRNA from 1 species